rnacentral:misc_RNA from 1 species
AAGUCGUAACAAGGUCUCCGUAGGUGAACCUGCGGAGGGAUCAUUACCAAAGAUGGCGGGCCUCCGGGCCCGCCGUCCCCCAACCCUUUGUUGACCAAGACCUUUUUGGCCUCGGGGGCAUGAGCGGUCCGCCGCCGCCCCGCGGACAGCCGCAACGACUGUCUCUUUACGUCGGAGUAUUGAUUGAAUAAAUGAAAA